UGAAUUCGUUGCUGCUGUGGUAGUAUGCUUACAUUCCAAAUUUAUGAUGCAUGGUUAUUAGUUUUAUGCUAUAUUUGAAUAAAUAGUAUUUUAGCUGCGGAUGAAUAUAUACUCAUCCAAUCGUGAUGCCCCCCUCCCCAGAAUCCCUUGCCCUUUUUUGGGUUUGUUAUCUUUGUAAUUUAUAGGUUUGUUACUCGUAACAUCUGCAACAGGAACUCCUUAUGUAUUUGUUCAUGAAAUCUCCGAUUGCACCAUCAAAUGGCCUAUUAAACUUAGAAUUGUCUGGAGAGUAGGUCCUUCAUACUCAAGAGAUGGGAAAUUAAUGUAUAAACAGCUCAUUUUGAUCGAUGAAAAGCUAGUCUUUUUUCAUAAUGCCGGAGUGUUUAACACAAUCUUGAUGCCCAACAAACUUUUAUGUUACCCAGGAAAUAAAGAUACAAUGCUACCAUCUUUGUUUAGAGAACCCAAUCUUGACAAGUCGGGGUGGAUUCGUCUAUAAUGAGUGCGGACUGAUAUCAGAAUCACUAGAAUUGAAGCCAGUUAUUGUCGCUACAAAUUUGCAAGUAACAGGCGUAUGUGGUAAAAUUAUUAUUAUAAUUCAUUCGUGGCAGGCAGAGCAUUUAUCAGAGUGAUAUUUCGUGAUCUAUUACCUUUUAAAGGGGGAAAAAAAGAAAAACCUUUCCUUGAGUCCAUCAACUGAGAUAUCAAAAUCAAUUGAACAAAUUCACCCAAACUAUCAAUUGAACAAGACAUACUAGAGGCCAAAGAAUUGCAAUCUUAGAAAUUGAAUAGGUGAUCCAAUUUUGGAUGAUAUAUUGACUAAGCCUAGAGCUUUGCCUAGAAUGGAACUCAGCACCAUUGAGGAGAUUAAUGAAAUCUCUUACACGGUGGUAACAACCUUUCUGCCCUUUUUUUCUUUAUUUUUUCUUUCCCUUACUUUUCCUGUGUGACUCGCUUGCUAAUAGAAGGCUUUAUUGUGAUUGAUGUACCA